rnacentral:rRNA from 1 species
CCUACGGGUGGCAGCAGUAGGGAAUAUUGCACAAUGGGGGAAACCCUGAAGCAGCAACGCCGCGUGAGGGAAGAAGGUUUUCGGAUUGUAAACCUCUGUCGUUAGAGAAGAAAAUGACGGUAUCUGACGAAUAAGCACCGGCUAACUACGUGCCAGCAGCCGCGGUAAUACGGAGGGGGCAAGCGUUAUCCGGAAUGACUGGGCGUAAAGGGCGCGUAGGCGGGAGUGCAAGUCAGAUGUGAAAUCCGAGGGCUUAACCCUAGAACUGCUUUUGAAACUGUGGUUCUGGAGUGUAGGAGAGGUAGGUGGAAUUCUUGGUGUAGCGGUGAAAUGCGUAGAGAUCAGGAGGAAUACUAGUGGCGAAGGCGACCUGCUAGACCGUAACUGACGCUGAUGCGCGAAAGCGUGGGGAGCAAACAGGAUUAGAUACCCUAGUAGUC